CAGCUAGGCCGUCUUUUCGGUGGUGACUUAAUUUCUCCCCCCAUGCACCCUCGCCUAGAGCGCCCCGCGGGCAGCCGUGUCUCACCACCAGCCGCUCAUAAUGGCCGAUCAUGGCAGAGUGUGGAGAUCUCCCUACCCCAGCCAAGCACCUUUGCUGCAGACCUGGCAGUGGUGGGAUUCAAAUUUCUUAACAACUGGUUC